rnacentral:rRNA from 1 species
UACGUAGGCAGCAAGCGUUGUUCGGAAUUACUGGGCGUAAAGAGUGUGUAGGCGGUGUUCUAAGUCUGUCGUGAAAUCUCCCGGCUUAACUGGGAGGGUGCGGCGGAAACUGGAAUGCUAGAGGGUGGGAGAGGUAAAGCGGAAUUCCUGGUGUAGCGGUGAAAUGCGUAGAUAUCAGGAGGAACACCUGUGGUGUAGACAGCUUACUGGACCACUUCUGACGCUGAGACACGAAAGCGUGGGUAGCAAACAGG